GACGUAGGGCGCGAGCGUUGUCCGGAUUUACUGGGCGUAAAGGGCGCGUAGGCGGCCAGCACAAGUCAGUUGUGAAAUCUCCGAGCUUAACUCGGAAAGGUCAACUGAUACUGUGCGGCUAGAGUGCGGAAGGGGCAACUGGAAUUCUUGGUGUAGCGGUGAAAUGCGUAGAUAUCAAGAGGAACACCUGCGGCGAAGGCGGGUUGCUGGGCCGACACUGACGCUGAGGCGCGAAGGCCAGGGGAGCGAACGGG
rnacentral:rRNA from 1 species